rnacentral:tRNA from 1 species
GGGGUUGUGGCUCAGCAGCAGAGCACUCACCUAGCAAGUGUGAGGCCCUGGGUUCAAUCCUCAGCACCA